CAUCAGAGGACCAUGGCCCCGUAUCACCUGGGUCAGGCACUGAAGCUGGGACAGGAGAGCAGAGACUUCCAAAAUGAGGGAUCCCUGUGUUCUGAGGUGAUCAUGACUGGGACCCAAGGACUCAAGCGCAUGCUCCAGAGGGAAUCGUUUCCCACAAGGCCUUUGGCAGGAACAGGGAUCCUGGGAGCCUGCCAAGCAGAGCGCACAGUGUUCCUGGAGUCUCGCUGCCCAGAUGCCACGGAAUCAGUUGAAGCCAGGUCUCCAGCUGGGGUGGACGUGCCCACCAGCUGCCGAAGGCCAAGACGCCAGGUCCGGUGGACGUGACAAGCAGGACAUGACAUGGUCCGGUGUGACGGCGAGGACAGAGGAGGCGCGUCCGGCCUUCCUGAACACCUUAGGCUGGUGGGGCUGCGGCAAGAAGCGGGUCUGUUUCUUUACUUCCUCCACGGAGUCGGCACACUAUGGCUGCCCUCUGGGCUCCCAGAACCCACAACAUGAAAGAAAUGGUGCUACCCAGCUCAAGCCUGGGCCUUUGAAUCCGGACACAAAACCCUCUAGCUUGGAAAUGAAUAUGCUGCACUUUACAACCACUGCACUACCUGACUCAGGAAUCGGCUCUGGAAGGUGAAGCUAGAGGAACCAGACCUCAUCAGCCCAACAUCAAAGACACCAUCGGAACAGCAGCGCCCGCAGCACCCACCCCGCACCGGCGACUCCAUCUUCAUGGCCACCCCCU
rnacentral:lncRNA from 1 species